GCAGCCGCGGUAAUUCCAGCUCCAAUAGCGUAUAUUAAAGUUGUUGCAGUUAAAAAGCUCGUAGUUGAAUUUCGGGAUUAGUACGUUGGUCGUGCCUUUGGUAUGUACUGAUGUUACUGAUUCCUCCCUUCUGACGAACCGUUAUGUCAUUUAUUUGGUGUGGCGGGAAAUCAGGACUGUUACUUUGAAAAAAUUAGAGUGUUUAAAGCAGGCUCGCGCUUGAAUACAUUAGCAUGGAAUAAUGAAAUAGGACGUUUGAUCCUAUUUUGUUGGUUUCUAGGAUCGACGUAAUGAUUAAUAGGGAUAGUUGGG
rnacentral:rRNA from 1 species